ACUUAAGUAAAGGGCUCAUGUUCUGAGGAGCAACGCUCAUUCAUGCAGUGUUUUCUGCUUGGUUAUGUUUGCUGAUGUUACUGAGUGGAGGAAAUACUGUGUGGGAGGCAGUUUCAUGAAUACUGAUGUUCAAUAUUGUGACAGAGCACAGGUACGCUGAGAGUGAACUGUCAGUUGAAGGAGAUGUGGGGAAAGUUUGUAUUUAUGAAUUAAUAUGGGAAAAGAAUAAUGGUAUUUCCUGGGCAGGGGGUUGCUAUGAGGAAUAUGCACUGAAAUAAGGAAAAUCCACAAACAACAAAAUCAUAUAAACUAAUAGGCUGUCAGCCUCAGAAUGAUGUUUUCAAAGAAGUUAAACUUGAAGUGAAGGAGGAAGGAUAAGAGUCUUGCAGGGUAUAGGUCUAAAAUUUUAAAUUUUAAGUUAUUUUAAACUUGUAAGUGGUAAUGUAAAAAAAAGCCUAUAAAUGGCCUGGAAUGAGUACAGUAUGCAACUGGCUGGUCUAUGUGAUGAGAGAUCUCAUGACUUACCAUUAUCCUGCAUAAUUUCCUUCCUUCUACUUCUUUUUAUGUUCUACUUUCUGGCUUUUACCUUUCUUAAGGAUCACUUUCUGCAAAUCAGUUAACAUGUACUUAAACUUAGUCUCAAUGGCUUCAGGCGGACUAUUCACACCAGUAACUGAGAGUGCCAAACCCAUGAGGCACAGCUUUCAAAAAGUUAGCGUCGUUCAGCAUGGUAUUUAUAAUUAAUGCCUUUGGAUAUAUUUUCUAUUUGUCAUUUUUACUCUUCAGAGUCAUGGUUCCAAAACUAUUUUGAUAUCACGAGGGCUGCAGACUUACAUUUUUAAAUGAAAUAUGAGGUUGUCAUGUGGUCACAGAACUACAAGAACUAGACACUGCAGUACAUUUGCACAUGCAGAAAGCCCCUGGAAGAGAAUCCACAUCUCCCGAUUCUCAGGUCUUUGCUCUUUCUUCACAAGAUCCCUUUAAAACCUGCUGCUGUUUGCUCUGUUUGCUCUACCUGCCUCAUAUGUACUCUUCAACCAGUGUCACAAGCAGUACAAGAAACUGUUGCUUGUAGCAUUGAUAGUGAUUCUUGAUUGGAUUUCAUUGUGAGAUCUGCUUCCUGCAAAGAGGAUUCUGCAUCUGAACAUAAACCAUCGCAUAAGGUAGACAUGGUGAUUACAAAUAGUUGCACUUACUGUCAUAGAUCAAAUCUUGUUGAUUACUGUAAAGAGCAGCACCACUCAGUACCUUGCAAUUACUUAGAUGCAUAAGGAAAGUAGCAUCUGUUGUUUUUGUGUUUAAAACAGAACACUGGUUUGUCAGAUAAUACUCUGGGGCCAUUAUUUACAAACCUUUUUUGCUUGAAAAAACAAACAUUGGCACAAUGAAAGUGUGGUAUGAAUCUCAUUGAGCAAACUCACUGAGCAUGAUAAUAAAACAAUCUCUAUAAGCUGUAAGCACCGAUUCCUAUCCUAGCUCUAGUAAGUGCCUCAAGGCAAAAGAUUGCUGGCCUAAAAAGAGCCAUUUCCAGAUCAGUGGAAACUGAGCGAUUUUUAUGUUCCAGAAUGAAUUUAAUUAAGACAAGUUUAAAGAAUGAAUUUAAUUAAGGCAAGUUUAAAAAGGCAUAAAGUAACUAUAGGAGAAACUGAAGUAAAUGUAACGGCUUACUACCCACGCCUUCACCUCAUGUGGCUUGAUCCAGUGUUGGCUGAAAUUCAGGGAGCUCCUUGCUGAUUUGUAAUGUAAAGGAUUCGUGCAUACUGCUCAGCACUUGGGUCUGUGUAUUCAUACAAAAUAAAGACCACUGUAUAAUAUGAACACUCACUUUCAACAUUGUGAUGAGUGGAUGGGCUAGCCAGCCUGGUAAAAAGCACAGAAAUAGUACAUGCUCUGUGCCUUACUGCUCAGUUUGCAUAAAAUAUAUGCACACUUGUAAAGGUGUAAGCAUGCCAGGAGGUUUCUUGUAAUGCCUCUGUUCAUUGAAUUGACAUACAAAUUAUAUUAAGCUAUAGGAAACUGGGAUCUCUUUCAGGCUUUGAGUAUGAGCCAAAUGGGAUCACUUGCUGGGAGAUGAGGCACAGUUUCUAACAGCAGGCAGGAAAAUUGUCAUAUGUUUGUGAUUUCUCAGACUUGGCUUUGGUUAGCAAUACAUGUAAGCAGGCUCAGGCUAAGGAGCUUUUAGAGAUCUCAGCUAUACUUCUUCAUCACCUGAGAAGUGAAUCUUGACUCUUUUUUCUUAAAGUAUUCUCUGGCUAGUUAUUUUUGUGAUGUCUUAUACUGAGACAUUCGUUAAAGGAAGUUUCUUACCCCUUCCCAUGCUUGAAUAGGUCACUUCUCUUUAUUUGUUAAAACUGAACUUAUUUUCAAGUACUCCGUGAUGUUCUUGUACUUUUAAGACUCCUACUGCCAUUUAAUUUUAACUUUAAUAUCAGUGCCCUAUUCUAUUAAUCUUUUCAAGAGCUACAGUUAAAACACGCAUGUUGUUAAGAGAGAGUUAAAGCAUGCGUGAUGUUAAGAUAUCGCCGCAGACAGCAAUUCAGGCACCACAACGUUAAAUUAUUAUUAUUAUCAUCUGAUGAUCUAAUUGAUAGUGGCCUAUGAUACUAGUAAAAGUAUGCAUCUAUUCCAAAACCACAAACACUGCUAUACUAGGUUUCAAGAGCCAUCUACCUGAGCAACUUCCUUCUGGCAAGAGCCAUCAGCAGAAAAUCAGGGGAAAAAAUGUUAAAAAAAUAAAGCUAGUUGCUCACUUCCCAGCUUCUGGCAAUCAGUUUAGUAACUAUGUCAACUGACGUCUCCUAAUUCAACAUACUGAUUCCUUUUUUGUGAGUCAGAUCUCUUUAAUGACUGAAGUAAGCUUUUACGGUUUUAUAUUCUUGGUUACUCUGCAAAGCCAAUGUGGUUAAGGGAAAAAAUGUUUGCACUUCCAACCAGUGACAAUUGCCAGAUCCAUUUCCCUUCUUGGCAUACUGAAAGUGUAACAACAGCGUGACCGGAGGGAGACAGAGUUUCAGGAGCGUAAAUUAGAGCAUUUGGCCUGUUACAGCUUUAUUAUAGAUGGCAAUGGGUGCUAAUGCAAUUAAUGUUUGUUCCUCACAUCUCAGUGUGAGCCUCCAAGCUCAGAAGUUGGAAUUGUUUUUCUCGUUAACUGUGACAAGAAAUGUAAUUAGGAGCACAGGUUGUUAUCUAAUUUAGUGUCAUUCCUGAAGCUCCUUUGCAGAACUGCAUUUAAAGUUGCAACAAGGGCACACUAUUUGAUGAGCAGUUAAGUAUAUAUUCUUGACUUUCACUAUGUUAGACUUCAGAACCAAGAGUUCAUAUUCACAAGUCUCUCUGCUGAACGUAUCAUGUCACCAGUCAAGCUGAAUGCCAGGGGUGACACUCCAGAUGGACUCAGUCUGGCACUCCUGACUAUGGAAAAAAAAAAUGAGGUCAAAUCUUAACUCCACUGAAUUUAAGACCCAUUAAGUCUCUUGAAGUGUCCCGAUGACAGCCUCCACUGCACACCUGUUGGAUUUCCAUGGCUUUCAUGUAUAGUACAACAUCCCAAAGUACCGUGCCAUCUUCCGGGCUGACUGCAUAUUGCCAAUUGCCAAACAUUAGUAUUCCAGUGUAAAGACCAAAACUUCUCUGUGAAUACCAUUAGAACUGGGUCACUAACAGAAUAAAACAUUAUUGAAUAAGCUGGGCUAGACUCUGUGUUCUGCCUUACCAAAGUCCCUUUAAACCAGCUAGAGAAGAAUGGAA